GUUGAACGCUGGCGGCGUGCCUAAUACAUGCAAGUCGAGCGAACAGACGAGGAGCUUGCUCCUCUGACGUUAGCGGCGGACGGGUGAGUAACACGUGGAUGACCUCCCUAUAAGACUGGGAUAACUUCGGGAAACCGGAGCUAAUACCGGCUACUAUAUUAAACCGCAUGGUUCAAUAGUGAAAGACGGUUUUGCUGUCACUUAUAGAUGGAUCCGCGGCGCAUUAGCUAGUUGGUAAGGUAACGGCUUACCAAGGCAACGAUGCGUAGCCGACCUGAGAGGGUGAUCGGCCACACUGGAACUGAGACACGGUCCAGACUCCUACGGGAGGCAGCAGUAGGGAAUCUUCCGCAAUGGGCGAAAGCCUGACGGAGCAACGCCGCGUGAGUGAUGAAGGUCUUCGGAUCGUAAAACUCUGUUAUUAGGAAAGAACAAAUGUGUAAGAAACUAUGCACGUCUUGACGGUACCUAAUCAGAAAGCCACGGCUAACUACGUG
rnacentral:rRNA from 1 species